CGAAGGCAGCUGUGUGUUUAUCAUUGCAGACUGCAGCUCUCAGUGGGCACGGUGCUCUGGCUGGGCCCCAGCUUUCCGAGUCGGCGCAGCUGUGCCGUCAAUGGAACCUUGAUGUCUCGGAGGCACGCAGCGCACCCCCGCCAUGUCCUGACAAGGCUGUUUCUCUUCUGGGAAGGAAUUAGAUCCACUUAAGGCCGGAUUCUUCCUACAGAAAGGAAAGUAGAAAUAAGUGUUUUCUGGCUGCAAAUUGUGGCAAGUGAGGGAUGAUGCCAAGAAAGAAUUAUGCAUAAAUGAUGGUGUUUAAACUUGUUUUUAUGUGUUUAGAUGCGUCUCUGCCAAAAAACUGACAAGGCCUCUCUGUUGGCACUUUUUCAGAGGGACCAUUCACACACUGAGCGUUUUCUUAAUAAAGAAAUAAUUGUAAAUCGCUGGAGUCGAGGCAGGUGAAAACCAGUUGACCUUAAACACGAUCUGUUGCACGCCCAGGGAAAACAGCUGGCUGAGCAGACUGAAUGCCUGAUCUGUCUAAAUCUGCUUUGUCUUUUGAAUGACUUGGACCCUUCCAACAGCUCCAAUUGUCCCCAGUGAGGAUGACAACAGCUGUUAUGGUACACAAACUUUUUGUCGCUGUUAAAGACAUUGAUAACCACUCAUAGCAUUCUCAGGACCCUAACAGGGUAACGGAUACAGGAGAGGGGCUCUAAGGAUACACGUGGGACUGUGAAGCAUUCCAGAAGUUCAACAACAGAUACUGUAGCCACCAGCAGACAGUAUUCCUAGAGCCAAGGCCACUCCACAGGAGGUGGACCCGUUCUGGGGCCCUUCUGGGAGUGGGGACCAUGAAGGGAAGGUGCUCCAAAAGCCUUGGAAUCUCGGUGGAGACAGAUCCCUUAGAGUCACCACUAAACGCAAGAUGAGAACAUUCCGGAAUGUCUCGCCUUUGCACCCUGAAGUUGCCAUUAGUUCCUCCCUUUGGCAAGAAGGCUUUGUCAAGACAGCCAACAGUUUGGGAACGGUGCUAGGAAUCUUCUGACAAUUGAAACAAAAUUAGGUCACAUACUCUGGAGGAACCCUGCUGCAAUAAUGUGAAACUCAGGAAAGCCCAGAAAGAAGGUCAUAGGGCAAGGACCAAAAUCCCCACGUCAGCAAUCAGCCUGGAACUGAAAGCCCUGCCACCAGCAGCUGUGGGAGCCAACGGUCUUGGAAGCUGGUCUCGCAGGCCCCAGCAAGCCUUUGGUGACUGCAACUGCACUGAACAUCUUCACAGCAGCAUAAAAGAACCUGAGCCCGAGCCACCAUGAUAACUACCCCACCAUUGCUGAUCAACAGAGUGUGAUACCAUUACUGUCUAUUUUAAGCCAUCAUUUUUUUUUUUUAAAAAAAGGUUUGUUUAUUUACUUGAAAGGCAAAGUUAGAGAGAAAAGGGACACACAUAG